rnacentral:misc_RNA from 1 species
AAGUCGUAACAAGGUUUCCGUAGGUGAACCUGCGGAAGGAUCAUUACUGAGAGAGGGGCUUCGCGCUCCCGGGGGCUUCGGCCCCUAACUCUUCACCCAUUGUCUAUCUACCUUUGUUGCUUUGGCGGGUCCUGAGGACCUCUCGCGCCGGCGCACCCGCCGGCGAGUGCCCGCCAGAGGCCCAUUAAAAUCUACUUAUCAGUGAUGUCCGAGUGAAAAACAAUAAUUAAAACUUUCAACAACGGAUCUCUUGGUUCCA